rnacentral:rRNA from 1 species
UUAAGCAUAUCAAUAAGCGGAGGAAAAGAAACCAACAGGGAUUGCCCUAGUAACGGCGAGUGAAGCGGCAACAGCUCAAAUUUGAAAUCUGGCCUCGGCCCGAGUUGUAAUUUGCAGAGGAUGUUUUUGGCGCGGUGCCUUCCGAGUUCCCUGGAACGGGACGCCACAGAGGGUGAGAGCCCCGUAUGGUUGGACACCAAGCCUGUGUAAAGCUCCUUCGACGAGUCGAGUAGUUUGGGAAUGCUGCUCAAAAUGGGAGGUAAAUCUCUUCUAAAGCUAAAUACCGGCCAGAGACCGAUAGCGCACAAGUAGAGUGAUCGAAAGAUGAAAAGCACCUUGAAAAGGGGGUUAAACAGUACGUGAAAUUGUUGAAAGGGAAGCGCUUGUGACCAGACUUGCGCCGGGCGGCUCAUCCGGGGUUCUCCCCGGUGCACUCCGCCCGGCUCAGGCCAGCAUCGGUUCUCGUGGGGGGAUAAGACCGGCGGGAACGUAGCACCCUCCGGGGUGUGUUAUAGCCCGCCGGACGAUACCCUCGUGGGGACCGAGGUUCGCGCUCCGCAAGGAUGCUGGCGUAAUGGUCAUCAGCGACCCGUCGUUGAAACACGGACCAAGGAGUCGUCCAUUAUAGCGAGCGUUUGGGUGUAAAACCCGCACGCGUAAUGAAAGUGAAAUUAGGUGAGAGCUUCGGCGCAUCAUCGACCGAUCCUGAUGUUCUCGGAUGGAUUUGAGUAAGAGUUAUAACGGACGGACCCGAAAGACAGUGAACUAUGCUUGUAUAGGGUGAAGCCAGAGGAAACUCUGGUGGAGGCUCGCAGCGGUUCUGACGUGCAAAUCGAUCGUCAAAUAUGAGCAUGGGGGCGAAA